CUGGAAUCUUCAGGUUUCUCUGGUCUUUUGUCCAAACAUCUGUAUGUUCUUUGCCUUCAUGCUUUGGGGCUUUACUGAAGGAUCUCUGCAUGAGACUGUCACCUGCUGUGCUCUUUAUAUUCUGAGGCCUGUUAUGUUGAUUUGGGCUUUGCGCUAUUUGAAGUAUCUUCAAGACAAUCAUAAAUCAUGGAUUAGGUUUUUCAGAAUAACACAUGAACUUACUGUUCUUACAGUCAUUGUUUAUUCAGUUCUUUUUGCAUAUGGCUGGAGAAUUAGUGCACAUGAUACAGACAAGACACACCGUAUAGCCUCAGGAAUGUGCUUUGGAUUAGUUGUGCUGUUCUGUCUCAUCCUGAGUGCAGGUAAGAGUUUCUGUAUGAUUUG
rnacentral:lncRNA from 1 species